rnacentral:rRNA from 1 species
GACGAACGCUGGCGGCGUGCUUAACACAUGCAAGUCGAACGAGACGAUUGAAAGCUUGCUUUUGAAAGUCGAGUGGCAAACGGGUGAGUAACGCGUAGACAACCUGCCUUUGAGAUGGGGACAACAGUUCGAAAGGACUGCUAAUACCGAAUGUUGUAUAUUUUCCACAUGGAAGAUAUAUUAAAGAUGGCCUCCAUUUAUAAGCUAUCGCUCAAAGAUGGGUCUGCGUCUGAUUAGCUGGUUGGUGGGGUAACGGCCUACCAAGGCGACGAUCAGUAGCCGGGCUGAGAGGAUGAACGGCCACAUUGGGACGGAGACACGGCCCAGACUCCUACGGGAGGCAGCAGUGGGGAAUCUUCCACAAUGGACGAAAGUCUGAUGGAGCAACGCCGCGUGAGUGAAGAAGGGUUUCGGCUCGUAAAGCUCUGUUGUCGGGGACGAAUGUGCAGUAUUUGAAUAAAGUACUGUAAUGACGGUACCUGACGAGGAAGCCACGGCUAACUACGUGCCAGCAGCCGCGGUAA